rnacentral:rRNA from 1 species
AAACAAGCGCCAGCAAGGGCGUUCGGUGAAUGCCUUGGCGUCAAGAGGCGACGAAGGACGUAGCACUCUGCGAAAAGCCACGAGUAGGUGAGAGCAACCGCUGAUCCGUGGAUCUCCCAAUGGGGAAACCCGGCCGUAUAACGGCCAUCGCCUGGCUGAACACAUAGGCCAGGCGAAGCGAACCCGGCAAACUGAAACAUCUAAGUAGCCGGAGGAAAGGAAAUCAACCGAGACUCCGUCAGUAGCGGCGAGCGAACGCGGACCAGUCCAGCCGUCAGACGCGCGAAAACCAGAAGAUCCCUGGAACGGGACACCAGAGACGGUGACAGUCCGGUACGGGUAAAUCGCGCGCCAGACGCACGAGUAGGGCGGGACACGUGAAAUCCUGUCCGAACACGGGGGGACCACCCCCCAAGACUAAGUACUCCUUGACGACCGAUAGCGAACCAGUACCGUGAGGGAAAGGUGAAAAGCACCCCGGCAAGGGGAGUGAAACAGAACCUGAAACCGUACGCCUGCAAUCAGCGGAAGCCCGCGGCGAAAGCCGGGGUGACCGCGUACCUUUUGUAUAAUGGGUCAGCGAGUUGAUCUUGCGGGCAAGCUUAAGCCAGACGGCGUAGGCGCAGCGAAAGCGAGUCUGAAGAGGGCGUCCAGUCCGCGGGAUCAGACCCGAAACCGGGUGAUCUAGCCAUGGCCAGGUUGAAGGUGGGGUAACACCCACUGAAGGACCGAACCCACUGAUGUUGAAAUAUCAGGGGAUGAGCCGUGGCUAGGGGUGAAAGGCCAAUCAAACCCGGAGAUAUCUGGUUCUCCGCGAAAGCUAUUUAGGUAGCGCGUCGGACAAUAUCGCCGCCGGGGGUAGAGCACCGGAUGGGCUAGGGGGGCGCGAGCCUUACCAAACCCAACCAAACUCCGAAUACCGGCGAGCGCGAAUCCGGCAGACAGACGGCGGGUGCUAAGAUCCGUCGUCGAGAGGGAAACAACCCAGACCGCCGGCUAAGGUCCCCAAGUUGUGGUUAAGUGGGAAAGGAUGUGAGAAGGCCAAGACAGCCAGGAGGUUGGCUUAGAAGCAGCCAUCCUUUAAAGAAAGCGUAACAGCUCACUGGUCUAAAUCUUAAGCCUUCCCGCGCCGAAAAUGUAACGGGUCUCAAACCACACACCGAAGCCGCGGGCGAUGUCUCUGUUUAUCGGGGGCGUCGCGGUAGCGGAGCGUUCCGUACGCCGAUGAAGCGCGACUCGCGAGAGCGCGUCAAGGACACGGAAGCGCGAAUGCUGACAUGAGUAGCGACCAGGGAGGUGAAAACCCUCCCCGCCGAAAGUCCAAGGGUUCCUGCGCAAGGUCAAUCCGCGCAGGGUGAGCCGGCCCCUAAGUCCAGGGCGAAAGCCGCAGACGAUGGGAACCGGGUUAACAUUCCCGGGCCCGCGGGUGGUGACGGAUGAUGUACAUCGUUCGCGCGCGACGGAUCGCGCGGGCGGUCGGAUCGUUCCAGGAAACAGCCCCCGCACAGGACCGUACCCCAAACCGACACAGGUGGACAGGUAGAGCAUACCAAGGCGCUUGAGAGAACCAUGCUGAAGGAACUCGGCAACUUGCCUCCGUAACUUCGGGAGAAGGAGGCCCCGCCGGCGGGCAACCGCGGGCGGGGGGCACAAGCCAGGGAGUGGCGACUGUUUAUCAAAAACACAGGACUCUGCCAAGCCGAUCAAGGCGACGUAUAGGGUCUGACGCCUGCCCGGUGCCGGAAGGUCAAGAGGAGGAGUGCAAGCUCCGAAUCGAAGCCCCGGUAAACGGCGGCCGUAACUAUAACGGUCCUAAGGUAGCGAAAUUCCUUGUCGGGUAAAUUCCGACCUGCACGAAUGGCGUAACGACCGCUUCGGUGUCUCCAGCGUGGACUCAGCGAAAUUGAAUUCUCCGUGAAGAUGCGGAGUACCCGCGGUUAGACGGAAAGACCCUAUGCACCUUUACUGCAGCUUUGCAUUGACGUCAGAGCCGGUCUGUGCAGGAUAGGCGGGAGACUUCGAAGUCCGGGCGCCAGCCCGGGCGGAGUCGUCCUUGAGAUACCGCCCUGACCUGUUCUGGCGCCUAACCCGCGACCGUGAAUCCGGCGCGGGGACCCUGCAUGGCGGGUAGUUUGACUGGGGCGGUCGCCUCCCAAAAAGUAACGGAGGCGCGCGACGGUGGGCUCAGGCUGGUCGGAAACCAGCCGCCGAGCGCAAUGGCACAAGCCCGCCUGACUGCGAGAUCGACGGAUCGAGCAGAGACGAAAGUCGGCCAUAGUGAUCCGGUGGUUCCAUGUGGACGGGCCAUCGCUAAACGGAUAAAAGGUACGCUAGGGAUAACAGGCUAAUCUCCCCCAAGAGUCCUCAUCGACGGGGAGGUUUGGCACCUCGAUGUCGACUCAUCGCAUCCUGGGGCUGGAGAAGGUCCCAAGGGUAUGGCUGUUCGCCAUUUAAAGCGGUACGCGAGUUGGGUUCAGAACGUCGUGAGACAGUUUGGUCCCUAUCUGCCGUGGGCGUUUGGAUACUUGAAAGGGUCUGUUCCCAGUACGAGAGGACCGGAAUGGACAUGCCUCUGGUGUGCCGGUUGUGGCGCCAGCCGCACCGCCGGGUAGCUAUGCAUGGACGGGAUAACCGCUGAAAGCAUCUAAGCGGGAAGCCUUCCUUGAGACGAGGUAUCCUUUGAGAGCCGUUGAAGACGACGACGUUGAUAGGCCGGAUGUGGAAGCGCGGCGACGUGUGAAGCUGACCGGUACUAAUUGCUCGAGGCUUUGUUUUG